GAUCGGUCUGCGCAGCGCCGCAUGAAGUCAAACGCACCUGUUAUCUUCAACAGGUGUCACGUUAGGCCGGGCAUACACUGCGAUUUCCGUGCGAUUUCAUUAAGAUCAGAGUUGGCCUUUCCUCUUUUUGAUGCGAGUCUUCCUCCUGGUGUUUGCGUCAAUGAUUGACUGUGACUGGUGCUUCAGUGUGACAUGGUUGGUGACAUCACCGUCAUCGACGCCGCUGUCCUCCUCAUCUGUUGACAGAUAAGACAUGCAGCUCCUUCACGAUGGUUGCCAGAUCUUUGCCCUGUAGUUCCUCCUUUAGCAGCAUCAGUUUCUGGUCAGCCUCAGACAUCAGCUGCAGCAUGUGUUCUUCUGAGUCUAAAGGCAGCUGUGGUGAUGGAUCCUUCAUCUGCCAAAAACCAUGGAAAGUAAUGGAAAACUGCUCAGUUACAUAUAUUUCGUGAAUAAAUAAAUAAAAACUUUUCCUU